rnacentral:rRNA from 1 species
UACGGAGGGUGCAAGCGUUAUCCGGAUUCACUGGGUUUAAAGGGUGCGUAGGUGGGUCUUUAAGUCCGUGGUGAAAUCUCCAAGCUUAACUUGGAAACUGCCAUGGAUACUAUAGGUCUUGAAUACCGUGGAGGUGAGCGGAAUAUGUCAUGUAGCGGUGAAAUGCUUAGAUAUGACAUAGAACACCAAUUGCGAAGGCAGCUCACUACACGAAUAUUGACACUGAGGCACGAAAGCGUGGGGAUCAAACAGG